GAUGAACGCUGGCGGCGUGCCUAAUACAUGCAAGUCGAGCGAACGGACGAGAAGCUUGCUUCUCUGAUGUUAGCGGCGGACGGGUGAGUAACACGUGGAUAACCUACCUAUAAGACUGGGAUAACUUCGGGAAACCGUAGCUAAUACCGGAUAAUAUUUUGAACCGCAUGGUUCAAAAGUGAAAGACGGUCUUGCUGUCACUUAUAGAUGGAUCCGCGCUGCAUUAGCUAGUUGGUAAGGUAACGGCUUACCAAGGCAACGAUGCAUAGCCGACCUGAGAGGGUGAUCGGCCACACUGGAACUGAGACACGGUACAGACUCCUACGGGAGGCAGCAGUAGGGAAUCUUACGCAAUGGGCGAAAGCCUGACGGAGCAACGCCGCGUGAGUGAUGAAGGUCUUCGGAUCGUAAAACUCUGUUAUUAGGGAAGAACAUAUGUGUAAGUACCUGUGCACAUCUUGACGGUACCUAAUCAGAAAGCCACGGCUAACUACGUG
rnacentral:rRNA from 1 species